CAGAAACGGUCUCUGGGCAGCUGUGCCUUCUUCUGAUGCACCACACUCACCAGCGUUGCUUCCAGAAGCUAGACAAGCAUAUGCUUGCCCUGCUGUUUAUAUUCUGAAAUAAUGAGCAGAAAUUCUUUGCCCGCAGACAAGCACAUCUGAGUUUGAAGACUGCACAGAAAUAGGAAUGAAGACCAAAAAAGGAGAAAGCUGAUUAAAUUGCGGCCAGCCCUGCUGUCCAAGGCCGUGCCUCUCAGGGAGGGAAGCAGGCUUAGCCUUUGUUUGCAGAGCUUCCAGAGCUCAGGUCCUUCCCGGGCUGUGCAUCCACCCGGGUCAGUGUGUGGUGACCUUUUGGCUGGCGCACAUCCCCUUGUGGUCAAGUUCUAGAGGCCGGAAUGGUCAAGACCAAAGCCGCCCUUCUUUGGUGCCAGGAGAGGAUUCUCCGUCUGUUUCUGAUGUGGCUCCUGGCUGCUGGUCUCCCUGGGACGAUGACCGCUGCAUCUUCCUGUGGCAGGAGAAACUGAGGGAACGGUCUCGCCUGUGCAGGUCCUUUACACGGUGAUAAUUCCCCCCAGGAGGGCCUUGCCCCUGUAGUGUGAUCUCUCCCUAGAGCCCACGCCUCUUCACACCACCAUAUUAGCAACUAAGCUUCAACCAGGAAGUGGGGAGAGGGACAUAUUCAAGACCAUGACUACAAUGAACUCCAUUCACUAAUGGACCUUGUGAACUGGAAGACAGGCAUGUGAAACAUAUUCUUCAGGUUUCUAAAACAUAAAAACCACUUCUAGUCACUACGAGUCUUCUUAUUCUAGUUGUUUCAAAACAGAUGCAUAGGCUCUGAGCAAUUUUCAUUAUUCAUCCACCUAUUUUCUUCCCCCCUGGAAUGUCAGCAGUUCCUUUCCUGCUGGUCAGGAGCCAUAUUGUUUGAAAGAUGGAUUGCUGAGUUCGAGUUUGCAGAAGUGGUCCUCAGUAGGGCCUGGUCCUCUGAGGUCCACUUGCCUCAGGCUCUGCCCUGGCAGGGGCAGCACAGUCAUCUACAGGCAGAGAGGGAAGCACAGGACUCCUAGAAAAGGCAGCACUGAGGCCAAGUCUAAUGUGAGAGAGCACACAGACUUUGCCCCUUCUGAAAGAUCACCAGGAGCUCAUUUUGAAGUGAAAGUGAGCAUUAAGAUCCCUUUAAUACUGAAUUUGCAGUGGAGUUGGAGUCCCUAACAUGACCUAAACUUCACAGCAGGGCGGACCUGAGCUCUUUAGCAGCAGAGACGAAUAGAAUCUUCUUAGCUCCCCGUUAUCUGAGCUAAGCAGACACCACCAAGCUUUUAGGGACCAGCAUGAGCCCCCAGACUUAACAAGUUCCAAACUAGCACAGUCUCAAAGGAGGGGAAUCAUUGAGAGGUUUGAGAGAAAAUGUGAAGCCAGAAAAAGGUGCAGAAAAGGCAAGAGCAGCUGGGACCAGAAGCUUCUCCCACGUCAGCUCCACAGCCAGCCCGGCCUCUGAUCACCUCCGAGAAAAAUUUACAAGCUGAUUGAUUUUCAGAGUUUCUGGGCAUGUAUUAGAAAUAAAAUAAAUAACCAAA